UUAUGAGAGUUUGAUCCUGGCUCAGGACGAACGCUGGCGGCGUGCCUAAUACAUGCAAGUCGAACGCUUUUUCUUUCACCGGAGCUUGCUCCACCGAAAGAAAAAGAGUGGCGAACGGGUGAGUAACACGUGGGUAACCUGCCCAUCAGAAGGGGAUAACACUUGGAAACAGGUGCUAAUACCGUAUAACACUAUUUUCCGCAUGGAAGAAAGUUGAAAGGCGCUUUUGCGUCACUGAUGGAUGGACCCGCGGUGCAUUAGCUAGUUGGUGAGGUAACGGCUCACCAAGGCAACGAUGCAUAGCCGACCUGAGAGGGUGAUCGGCCACACUGGGACUGAGACACGGCCCAGACUCCUACGGGAGGCAGCAGUAGGGAAUCUUCGGCAAUGGACGAAAGUCUGACCGAGCAACGCCGCGUGAGUGAAGAAGGUUUUCGGAUCGUAAAACUCUGUUGUUAGAGAAGAACAAGGAUGAGAGUAAAACGUUCAUCCCUUGACGGUAUCUAACCAGAAAGCCACGGCUAACUACGUGCCAGCAGCCGCGGUAAUACGUAGGUGGCAAGCGUUGUCCGGAUUUAUUGGGCGUAAAGCGAGCGCAGGCGGUUUCU
rnacentral:rRNA from 1 species